rnacentral:rRNA from 1 species
AGUGAACGCUGGCGGUAGGCCUAACACAUGCAAGUCGAACGGCAGCACAGAGGAGCUUGCUCCUUGGGUGGCGAGUGGCGGACGGGUGAGGAAUACAUCGGAAUCUACUCUGUCGUGGGGGAUAACGUAGGGAAACUUACGCUAAUACCGAAUACGACCUACGGGUGAAAGCAGGGGAUCUUCGGAACUUGCGCGAUUGAAUGAGCCGAUGUCGGAUUAGCUAGUUGGCGGGGUAAAGGCCCAAAAAGGCGACGAUCCGUAGCUGGUCUGAGAGGAUUAUCAGCCACACUGGAACUGAGACACGGUCCAGACUCCUACGGGAGGCAGCUGUGGGGAAUAUUGGACAAUGGGCGCAAGCCUGAUCCAGCCAUACCGCGUGGGUGAAGAAGGCCUUCGGGUUGUAAAGCCCUUUUGUUGGGAAAGAAAUCCAUCUGGUUAAUACCCGGGUGGGAUGACGGUACCCAAAGAAUAAGCACCGGCUAACUUCGUGCCAGCCGCCGCAGUAA